CACGUAGGCACCAAGCGUUGUCCGGAUUUAUUGGGCGUAAAGAGCUCGUAGACGGUUUAGUAAGUCGGGUGUGAAAACUCUGGUCUUAACCCAGAGACGCCACCCGAUACUGCUGUGACUUGAGUACGGUAGGGGAGCAGGGAAUUCCUGGUGUAGCGGUGAAAUGCGCAGAUAUCAGGAGGAACACCAAUAGCGAAGGCAGCUCGCUGGGACGUUACUGACACUGAGGCGCGAAAGCGUGGGGAGCGAACAGG
rnacentral:rRNA from 1 species